GCUCAGGAUGAACGCUGGCGGUAUGCUUAACACAUGCAAGUCGAACGGUCUUUUCGGAGAUAGUGGCGGACGGGUGAGUAACGCGUAAGAAUCUACCUUCAGGUUGGGGACAACCACUGGAAACGGUGGCUAAUACCCAAUGUGCCGAGAGGUGAAAGGCUUGCUGCCUGAAGAAGAGCUUGCGUCUGAUUAGCUAGUUGGUGGGGUAAGAGCCUACCAAGGCGACGAUCAGUAGCUGGUCUGAGAGGAUGAUCAGCCACACUGGGACUGAGACACGGCCCAGACUCCUACGGGAGGCAGCAGUGGGGAAUUUUCCGCAAUGGGCGAAAGCCUGACGGAGCAAUACCGCGUGAGGGAGGAAGGCUCUUGGGUUGUAAACCUCUUUUCUCAGGGAAGAAAAAAAUGACGGUACCUGAGGAAUAAGCAUCGGCUAACUCCGUGCCAGCAGCCGCGGUAAUACGGAGGAUGCAAGCGUUAUCCGGAAUGAUUGGGCGUAAAGGGUCCGCAGGUGGCAUUGUAAGUCUGCUGUUAAAGAGUUUGGCUCAACCAAAUAAAAGCAGUGGAAACUACAAAGCUAGAGUGUGGUCGGGGCAGAGGGAAUUCCUGGUGUAGCGGUGAAAUGCGUAGAUAUCAGGAAGAACACCGGUGGCGAAGGCGCUCUGCUAGGCCAAGACUGACACUGAGGGACGAAAGCUAGGGGAGCGAAUGGGAUUAGAUACCCCAGUAGUCCUAGCCGUAAACGAUGGAUACUAGGCGUAGCUCGUAUCGACCCGAGCUGGGCGCCAAAAACAAA
rnacentral:rRNA from 1 species